GUGAGGAAUAUUGGACAAUGGAUGGAAAUCUGAUCCAGCCAUGCCGCGUGCAGGAAGACGGCCCUAUGGGUUGUAAACUGCUUUUGUAUGGGAGCAAUAAGGGUUACGAGUAGCCUGAUGAGAGUACCAUACGAAUAAGGACCGGCUAACUCCGUGCCAGCAGCCGCGGUAAUACGGAGGGUCCGAGCGUUAUCCGGAUUUAUUGGGUUUAAAGGGUGCGUAGGCGGUUUUAUAAGUCAGCGGUGAAAUUUUCCGGCUCAACCGGGGGACUGCCGUUGAUACUGUAAGGCUAGGAUAUGGUUGCUGUGGGUGGAAUGUGUGGUGUAGCGGUGAAAUGCUUAGAGAUCACACAGAAUAUCGAUUGCGAAGGCAGCUCACAAAGCCAUCAUUGACGCUGAGGCACGAAAGUGUGGGGAUCAAACAGGAUUAGAAACCCUGGUAGUCC
rnacentral:rRNA from 1 species